rnacentral:rRNA from 1 species
AGUGAACGCUGGCGGUAGGCCUAACACAUGCAAGUCGAACGGCAGCACAGUAAGAGCUUGCUCUUACGGGUGGCGGGUGGCGGACGGGUGAGGAAUACAUCGGAAUCUACUUUUUCGUGGGGGAUAACGUAGGGAAACUUACGCUAAUACCGCAUACGACCUACGGGUGAAAGCAGGGGAUCUUCGGACCUUGCGCGAUUGAAUGAGCCGAUGUCGGAUUAGCUAGUUGGCGGGGUAAAGGCCCACCAAGGCGACGAUCCGUAGCUGGUCUGAGAGGAUGAUCAGCCACACUGGAACUGAGACACGGUCCAGACUCCUACGGGAGGCAGCAGUGGGGAAUAUUGGACAAAGGGCGCAAGCCUAUCCAGCCAUACCGCGUGGGUGAAGAAGGCCUUCGGGUUGUAAAGCCCUUUUGUUGGGAAAGAAAAGCAGCAGGUUAAUACCCCGCUGUUCUGACGGUACCCAAAGAAUAAGCACCGGCUAACUUCGUG